rnacentral:lncRNA from 1 species
GUUGCAUACUCCUGGUCUCCAGCAUUUCUCCUGCUUCAGCCUCCCAGUGUUGAGAUUAUAGGCAGGAGCCACUGUGCCCUGCCAUAAAGCUUUUAAAUCAGCAUGAAUCCUGUGCCCACCUGAUGUACCAUCUCCCAUCCUUGGCUUUGGGAGAAGAUAGGCCACAGGGACCUUCAUGGUUUGCUGCAAGCUCAAUGAGAAUAGAAAUGCCCAAUGGGGAUUUGCUUGUGAACAGCAGUCCCAGGUCAUCUUCAGAGGAGACCAAGGCCCCAUUGUGGCCAAUGGCCAAGAUCUGAGUUUGAAGCAAAAAGGAAAGACUUCCUAGUGGGCCACGUAAGUGCUCAUUAUAUGUGUGCCAUGGACUAAGGACAAUAAAAAAUGGUAAUACGUGAUUUGUGCAUAAAUAGAGUCAGACAGCCUGGGUCAAAUCCUGGCAGGGUCACUACCAGGGACUAGGACUGAAAUGCUGUUUUACCAAAUUUGUAAAAACAAGCGAAGAGAGCCUGCCUCCCAGGAAGAGAUGAGGUUGGGUGCAGCAUUCAGGCAGGUCAGGCCACAGGUUUCCCUUCUCAGAAAGCUUCACAGCCCAGCACGUCACGUCCCAGGCUCAAGUCUCUCCAGGGCGGCCACAGAGAAGGCUCCUGACACCGGGACUUGGAGAGGUGAUCACAGAGGAGCAUGAAGGAGGUGGUGGCCUGAGGAGGGGAGAGGGGAAACAGAUGUCUUCAGCAGCAGCUGCCUAAAAGGAUGAGGGUCCAGCCUUUUGUGCUCCAUAUUUGCACCCCAUGAUGGCGUCUCCUCCUCAUCUUAGCACCUGCUGCAGCUACCUGGCCUCUUGGGUACAUCAUUCAGCUCGGGAACCAGCAUAGCCCUCUUCCCUCCCCAGCUCCCUCUCCCACACCUGGCACUUCCAGUGAACCUGGUGCUGGGAAGACCUGGGCUGCUUCUGUACUCGCUCUGAGCAGGCUCUGCCCUCCAGUGACCCCAGGAUACACCUGGACUGCUUGCAGAAGCUACGGUCCGGGCCAGGCUUCGCGGAGCCUGCAGACCUGGCUGCUGGUGCCCAACAGCUGCAGUCCUGAGCGGUGCUCAUAUCGCGCAGGGGCCGGUCUGGGUCUAAACAGCCGCUACCGGGUAGGCGGAAUCCCGAAGCUCGAGAGUCCCCUGCUGGGGCUGGGCCGUUGGACCUCGCCCUUUGCCCUCUGCUGCGUUUCUUCGAGCCCUGGCCUCGCGCACCCUUUCUCUCCACGCGUUCCAACGGCGGCUCAAUUGCGUAACAGGGUGUGCAGCGCACAGGCUGCUCUUCACCGGCAACCUCUUCUACAAGCUUCAUACGCGCCCCUCGUCCCCCAUCUGGUCUGGAUCGCCUCGCGGUCCCGGCACAGAGCUCUCCUCGACCUUGCUCGCCCAGGUUUACUGCAGUCCCGCGCCUUUUCGGUUGGACAUCACCGCUAGGAGGCGGUGUCUGAUUCCGCAGGCUCUGGGCUCCUCUCUGGGGUUCUUACCUUGAAUGUGUGCGGGACUCUGGUGUGGAGGUCUCAGGAGCCACUGCUGCCGGCUAGCACUACUAGGGUGUUCAGCUGAAUAUCUUGGAAUGGUAGAGUCCUCCUCCAGGCUGCAAAUGACUCCUUUCUGUUUGGGGUUUGAGCAGGUAGUGAUCUCUACGAAGCUGGGCCACCCUGUCCUCCCCUCCAUACUUGCCUCAGAAAGACUGAGUUGAAGUCCCCAGGAGAGUGCAGGAAAGGAAAAGCUAAGGCAGAGGGAAAAAGUAGCAAAAGAAGGAUAAUUAGAGAAGGGCUCCCCCCUCACCCUCAUAACAGCGGGAGUGUCUGGAAGAUCAACGGUGUCAUCUUGUGGUCACUUCCUUCCAGUACAGUCCUGGACUCCUGAAAGGAAGCCUCUGUUCCAAACACCCAGAAGACACCUUGAGUAAGAAAGCAUCUUCUCUGAGCCCAUUUGCCAAAGUCAGUGACAUCGCCAGCUUAUACAGACCUCUUUGGAGGUCUGCCGUGGGUUCAGCAGGGCUGUCCCGUCCAGUCUUAUCUGCACUCUGCUACUGGAGAGGUGGGCGAAGGAAGAUGUUGAUGGAGGCCAUUCACCCAGAUCUCCAGCCUCACUAAAGUCAGACAAGACACAGGGAGAAAAAGCUUCCAGACACUCUCAAGAAGGAACUUUCCAAACACAUCUAACAGCUGUGAGCUCUGUAACUCCAAAUUCCAGUACUCCUGCUGCUGCCACUGCCGCUAUUGUUGGGUGGAGGAGAGCUACCUCUGCCCCCUAGGUUUCCUGUAUAGUCACUGCUGAAGACCUAGGCUUGGAGAAGAGAGGUGAGCACCAGUGGAGCCCCAAGGCGUUGGAGGAUAAAACUGAGGCCCCUUCAGACAGCAGGGCCACUCAGCCUGCCUGUUCUUUCUCCCUUUCUGCUGAGAAAAUUUCAGACUUCCUGACUGUGGCCACUUUCAUCAUGUGGAUCCUGGCUCCUGCCUCAUUAGUAGACACUGAUUCAGCUGACCUGUUUGCCAGACCCUCCAAUCCUGACUGCCCCUGUACUUACCCCCCCCCAUCAGAUAUUGAUCAUGAAACGAGAAGCCCUACUUAUAAUUCUCCUUUCACCAUUCUUGCUGAAUCUCCUUCUCCCUUUAGGAUUAAUAAUAAUUGUUAGUCCAAGCUGCACCAUUUUGCAAGUCCCUGCCAUUUCACAGACCCUGGUCAGAAUGAAAGAUUCCAUGGGGCCCUGGGCUGUGAGAAACAUCCUGCCCAGCCACCUGACUUCCUUAUCACAUCCUGCUGGGCAAAGGCCCAAGGAACAUCUUUAUCAACAUCCUCCUGGGCAGCAAGCCAUACGGGCCCAGACCCCUCCUGCCCAGACCUGUAAUUACCCCAGCCUGUAAGCAGCAGUGAGCUCUGGCACCAAGCUGGUCCCCUCUCUGCAAGUUGUACUGGCAAUAAACCUGUGUUGCUGUAGAGCCACCAACUCUCUCUCUCUCCCCUUCCCUUCAAAACCUAACAAUAAUAAUGAUAGAAUAACAAUAAGGCAAACCACCCAAUUAAAAAAACUGGACAAAACAUUUGAGCAAUAAUCCCUUUCCAAAAGUUGAUUCAGAAAUGUUCAACAGGCCCACCAAAAAUGCUCAAUAUUAUUAAUCAUCAGGGAAGUUUAAAUGAAAACCACACUGAGAUGCCAUUGCACAUCCACCAGAAUGCCUGUAGGGAUGUAAAGCGCUUGGAACACUUCUCACUUGCAGUAAUAAUAUAAAAUGGUACAAUCACAUUGAGAAAAUGUCAUAAAACUUAUUAUAAAAGUAAACAUACACAUUCUUACUCAGCACUUCCAUUCUGAAUUAUUUCCUUGAGAGAAAUGAAAACAUGGAAGAUUUCUCAUUGCAAUGAUAAUAUGAAAUGGUACAAUCACAUUGAAAGAAUGUCAUAAAACUUACUAUAAAACUAAAUAUAUACUUAUUCUUACUCAGUGCUUCCAUUCUGAAUUAUUUCCUUGAGAGAAAUGAAAACAUAUGUACACAAAAAGGCUUGCAUGACACAAAAAGCCUUGCAUAGUAGGCAAAAUUCAUAAAAGCCUUAUUCAUAAUAAGCAUAAUAUGGAAAUAUCCCUGAUACCAAUCCACAUGAGAAUAGAAAAAGAAAUUAUGAAGUAUUCAUAUUACUCAGCUAUCAAAGAAAAUAACCCCUGAUGACAGACAACAAAAGUACAAAAGCACAGCAUUCUGCUAAGUGAAAAGAAUCCUUGCACAGGAAUGCAUACUGCAUGUCCCUAUUUAUAUGAAAAGCUAGGACAGCCAAAACUAACCUAUCUUGGGACAAUCCUUGAAGAAUUGGAGAGGAUUGACUGAACCUGGAGGUACAACUGGAUCACAGCAGUGAGCAAAUCAGGGCGUUGGGUCGAAAUCAAAAUACAGAGAUAAAUCUCUAUAAAUAUAAACUGUUUUAUUUGGGAAGUGAAAAUUGCAAUUCAGGGCACACAACUGGGCAGCCUUUUAGAAGAACAAAUAGAAAGAGGUUUCGUUAAAAGAGCAAAGACAAUUUAUUUUGCAAAGACAACUCAUUGGCACUAGUAAAGUUUUGGGGAGCUGGCAAGUUCUGAUUGGUAAGUGAUAGCAGUGGGUAAAAGUAAUCAUAGAGUCCGGCAGGUUGUUUCAGAAGCUACUACAUAAAACCGUUUUUGGGUUACAGCAGGCAAUUUCAGCAGCUAGGCUUGCAAAGAAUUACAUUCUUGGCGUGCCCUGAGUGUGUUUUCUCCUCCUGGCCUUCCAAUUCUGUUUUAGUUGGGUAUAACAAGAAUGGCUCAAUUUAUAUAAUCAACUUUCACACUUGCCAGCCAUAGGAAGCCAGGGCAUCCUACCCAUAAGUGACUCUCUCUCCAAGGGCUGAGCUGUUCUCUUCCUGUGCCGACAAACUGCUCCAGGGAGAGGGGAUCUGGCUGAUCCAACAUGGGUCAAAGUCCCACAGUCCAGAUAUAUGUGUCUCAGAAGGUGGGGGGUUCUCAUGGUCCAUGGACUUUCCUUCAGAUAAUGUUGGAAUUGCUCCGAGAAGGGCUAGUGAUUUUUACCCCUAUGUUCACCAUGCCUUUUCUGCACACAAGAGUGCUUGUGUCUUUGCUCUCUUCUUGCACUGCUCCUCCCGGCUGACCAUCUUCCCAUUCUCUGCCGUGCCCCUACCUUAACAUUGUUUUCUAAAUGAACCUUUUUCAUGUUUAAAAACUGUUAUAACAGUUAGAAAGAAAAUCUGGCCUUCUCUGCCAUUAUUAUGGCCAAUUGCAUCUACGUAGCAAAAUCUGUUUAUAAAACAAUGAUUUUAGAAUGAUAUUCUUUCUACCUUUGCUUCGUUUUUUUCAAAUCAAGUUUUGGAGGUAAAAUUCAGCAAUUUCAGCGGCUGCUGAGAAAAAAAUUCAGAGUCAGGACCUGCCAAUGAAGAGGGUCCCCAAAAAAUACUCAGGUUUUCAUGUAAAACGUCUGAAAGCCAGUAUCCCAGAAAUAAGGAUAACAGGAGAGAGCCAGCCUUCAAAAAGAGUGAAGCAUGGCUCUGACUUACAUUAAUCUCAGAAUAAAGUGUGCUUUCCCAUCCUAGCUGCCUUCUACAUCCAAAGGUAAAUCCCUUCAGAGGAUUUAUAGUAGCAUCAAUAAACAUGAAAUAAAUCUACAAAAGACAUGCAAAUCGACAGGAGAAUUCCAGAGCUAAAUGUGAAAAGUUAAGCAAUAAACCUCAUAGUAGGCAUCACUGAAAAUUUCCAUGAUAUUGGAAGUGAUGCUGGGCAGGCAAGCCCAAAUUGGGGCUUAGCUUGGGAGGGUUCUUUGCUUCACCCAGCAAAGGAUUCAAGGGUGAGCUGGUGGUGGAAGAAGACAGCUCUAUUGAAGAGGCAGUGUUACAGCUCUGUGACUGCUCCUGCAGAGCACGGUUACUCUAUCGGCAGGGCGCAGAGAGCAGCAGCUCAGGGCAGUUCUGCAGUCAUAUUUACAUCUACUUUUAAUUGCAUGCAGAUUAAGGGGUGGUUUAUGCUGAAAUUUCUAGGAAAAGGGUAGUAACUUCUGGGUCAUUGGGUCAUUGCCAUGGAAAGGAGCAGUAAUUCCUGCAUGUUGCCAUGACAAAUGUAAACUGACAUAGCACACUGGUGGGUGUGUCUGAUGGAAAGCUGCUUCCACCCUGACCCUGUUUUAGCUAGUCCUCAAUUUGCUCCAGUGUCCAAGCCCCGGCUCUGGAGUCGAGUCCUGCGUCCUACCUCAGAAGUAGUCGAAAACAUACACAUGAAUGUUCACAGCAGCAUUAUUUCUUUCUUUUUUUUUUUUAAAGAGAGAUGGGGGUCUCACUAUGUUGGCCAGGUUGGUCUUGAACUCUUGGUCUCAAGCAAUCCUCCCUCCUCAGUCUCCCAAACUGCUAGGAUUACAGGCAUGAGCCACUACACCUAGCCACAGUAGCAUUAUUAUUUCUAAUAGCCAAACAUCCAUCAAUAAUAGAAUGGGUAAAUUAUAUUUGUUCAAUGGAACAUCACACAGCAAUAUAAAAGAAUAAAGUGCUGCUAAAAGCAACAACAUGGAUGAAUUUUAUGAAGUGUUGAAUGAAAAGACACAGCCACAAACAGGACACAUGGUAGGGUUCCAUUUAUAUAAAGUUUUUAAAUAGGCAAAACUAAUCUAUAAUGUUAAAAAUUUGGGAGGGGCAUAGUGACUAGGAAUGAGCAUGAGGUUGAUUCUGAGGUGCCUGUGUUUUGCUUCUUGAUCUAGAUUACAUAGGUUUGUUCAUUCUGCAAAAAUGUAUUGAGGAAUAGACAGAUGAUUUGUACACUUCUGUGUAUGAAUGUUAUAUUGUAAAGUUUCUUGAAGAAUACCUGUUUACAAGAGUUAGAGAACAUGGAAGCUCUUUCUCUGAGAUAAAACAUCUAAAAAGACAAAAAUUAGCCGGGCGUGGUGGUGGGUGCCUGUAAUCCCAGCUACUCGGGAGGCUGAGGCAGGAGAAUGUCUUGAACCCGGGAGACAGAGGUUCUAGUGAACCAAGAUCACACCACUGCACUCCAGCCUGGAUGACAGAGGAAGACUCUGAGACUCCGUCACAAAAAAGAAAAAACAAACAAACAAACAAACAAAAAAGCCCUAAGUCAUAUCAUGCCAGUCUCAGCAGUUUGAAACCCUCCAUGGUUCCCAUCUCUCAGUAAAAGGCAACGUUCUUAUGACAUCCUUCAAGGCCCCAUGUAGUCUUUUGGUCCCUCUCCAUCUCUGUCCUCCUGUCAUCCACGUCUCCCACGUGCUGAUUGGGUCUGGUAGGGUGACUGGGUGGCAAAGACCUCACAGAGGUGCCUUUCUGCUCAGGUGGCAAACAGGAGAGUCUAUCUGGGCCCUGCAGGAUGGAUCCUUCCUGAGUCACUGAAUAUAUUGGAGGUGCAGACAGCGCCAGAGAAAGGCAUUGAGCCUGCCAGAUCAGACACCGCCUCUUAGGGUCGACGGAACACCCAGGAGCAAAGACCAGAAAUUGUGGGAGAAAGGCCUGGAAGGGGGCCGGGGAGAGGCACAGAGACAGCGAGGUGAUGCAGGCUUGGUGGGAGCGGGUAUGGUAGGCAAUGGGGGACAGAGGGGCAGGGCACAGACAAAGCUUGCUGAAGAUAUGAAGAGCAAUUGUGAGCCGGCGAAUCCUUGGAGUAGAGGAGAAAAUUGAGGUCUCCUGUUCAGCCCGAUGCAGGCAGCCGCCACAGAGGACACCAGAUCAUGCCAACACCCCCACAACUCCUGCCCGCCUGCAGGCAGCUCUGGGCUCAGGACACCGCCUGCAAGAACCUUUAUAGCGCAGCUCUCCAAACCUUGGAGGCGAGGACAUUCUAUGUGCCCGCCCUGGAAAGGCCUGAACCUAUAACAUCUGGGCUGUGAUGGUUUCUGAGGUGGACACCAGGACCAACACUUGUCAGCAUGGCACAAUCAGGCAUUUCUCUUCUAAGUAGGAUGUGCAGCCAAAAACUCAGCUGUCUGUGAGCUGUCUUCUCCCAGGAACGAGGACAUAAGAUGUACAUCAGGUCUGAACUGCACAGAUCCACUUACAUGUGGAUUUUCUUCCACUGCGGCCUCUCCUGAGACAGCAAGACCAACCCCUCCUUUUCAUCCUCCUCCUCCUCCUCAGCCUACUCAACAUGAAAAUGACAAGGAUGAAACCUUUAUGAUGAUCCACUCAUCCAUUUUCUUUUCUCUAGCUUAUUGUGAACAUCUUAGGCUAGUGUGUCGACUUCUGACUUGGCUCAUCUGAACCCAAGUCCUUGGACACAUUCACAAACACCCCAGGGUCUUGGGCUUCCAGUUUGUGCUAGAAGGACAAAGGGCAGGUGAAGCUUGUUUGCCGUAACUAGAAGGAGCAGAAACUGCUCCCAGCAGAACAAGAUCAAAUCAUGGGGAACAGUGGUCACCUGCCAUUUCUAGAGGAAGCUUUUGCUUUUGGUCACUGAGGACCCUAAGUCUUACAUGAGAAGAAAACAAAUAGGGUGAUGCUGCAUGCUUCUGUCCCCAAAGAAUCCCUGUGCAGGUGCCGAGGGUGCCCCAAAGACGAGGCUGUGCUUGCCGUGCCCACCACAGAAGCACAUUUGACCUGAUCAAAAGCAGGUGGAAAAGGUCCUGAAGCACAGAUAUUUUCUCAGUGAUGUUGUUUUCUCCAAAAUGAAAGAGGGAAGGUACCCUGGCUUAGGCCCCUGGUGUUCUGAUUGAAGGUGAGAAUGGAAGUAUCUUCUUCAACAUGUUCUCCCAUCUGACUGCAACAAGUGUGCUCCAGCCACCAGUGUCCCAGUUGCUCUGAAUGAUGGUGAGAAGGGUACCCAAACACUUGAAUGGUACUGUACCCUCUACUUGCCAUCUGAAUCCUCACUUGUGGAACCCAGGCACUCUGGCUGUAUUCGCGAGUAAGCAUAGGUGUGGGACUGUGUCCUGCCAUUGCACCAUCUUUAAUCUGGACUUGUGGACCUCAGGCUCUCUGACUAUUCAUGGACAGAAGUUUCUGCAGGCACAGGUGGGGUGCUGUUUCCUCCCAUUGUACACCUGAAUUCAGGACUUGUGGACCCCAGGUGUUCUGGCUGUGUUCAUGAACAGAAGUGUCCCCCCCAAACAAACCCAUAUAUGGUGCCAUCUCCUCCCAUUACAGGUAUGGUGCCAUCUCCUCCCAUUGCAGGCAUUGCACUGCCUAUACUCUGGACUUAUGGCCCUCACAUGCUCUGAUUGUAUUCAUAAACAGUAGUUUCUUCAGUCACAGAUAUGGCACCAGCCCCUCCAACAGAAACAGAUGUGCUCAAGCUGAGUGGUCCAAAGGCGUUUGACAGAAGUCAUGAACAGAAGUAUCUUGGGGCACAUGUUUCUUCUCUGUUGUGCAGGCUUCUCCAGCAGUAACAGGUUUGCCCAGGCCAUAUGGGCCCCAAGCGCUCUGACCAGACACAAGAAGAGAAGACUUGCAGUCACAGGUAGUGUGUUGUCCCCUGCUACUGCAACAUAGGUGCUUGGAAAGGUGCAACAGGGUGCUCUGCUUGUGGUGGAAACAUAAAGGCCUCCAAGCAUAGAUGUGCUGCUUUCUCCUUCCCUUUGAGGGAUGCAGAUGUGCUCUGGCCAGCUGCAUUCCAGGUGGUCUGUCUGCAAGACAGAAGUGUCCCAAGCACUGGUAUGUGCGGGCUCCUCCAACCACAACAGACGUGCUUUGGCCAGAUGGUUUCCAGGUGUUAUGAACACAAGAAGGAACAGAGGUGCCUUCUGGAACAUGUUUCUUCUCAGUGAUGUUCUAAGAGGUGUGCUUUGGCAGGACAGGCCCCAGCUGCUCUGACUGUAGGCAGGGAGGAAAGUGUUUCCCAGGAGUUUUUGCUUUCAGUAGUACUGCCCUCUCCAACUGUACCAGAGGUGCUGUAGGCUUGCAGGAACCCCGGUGCUCAUGUGUAAGCCUCCCCAACAUAAACUAAGGUGCUGCAUGCCCCUCUAGGCCCUGUUCUAAAGCUGAGUGCUUCAGAUGUGGAGCUGGGUCUGGGGCAGACACACUGGUCCUAGAGCUGUCAUUAUCCAAAGAAGCCCCAGAGUCCAUGAAUGGAAAUGGGUCGAGAGAGGGGUUAGCAAAAGGUGAACUGUGCCUGAUGCUGAGCAUCCAGUGAUGGCUCCAGAGCUAGAAGUAGUGGCUGUGCAAAUGGGAAAAGGACCCGAGGUGCCACCCAAGGCUGAGUGGGUGCUAGCAGAGAUAUCAAAGAUGGAUAUGGAGGUAACACGUACGCAAAAUCUGAUGGCAUUAUGCUCCCAUUGGGUGUCUGGGCUGCAGUAAAGGCUCAGUUUAGAGCUUGUAUUGAGAUUUUACGUUUCUCAAAGGGUAAAUGCUAUCAAAUACAUUGGGGGAUCCUGCCAGGGGGAGGCUAGAAAGAGGACAUGGUAACCAUAUUGAUUUCAUCAGAGUUAAAGGCAGACUUGGCUGCCCAGUUGGUCAAGGUCCUAGCUACUAGAAAACAGACAAUUGCUGAAGUAGUGAUAAGUAUGAUGGUGCAGACAGGUAUCCUAGAAGACUGACUCUUUGCUGCUGCCCUUUAGGAGCUCCAAAUGUGACUGAGAGGUGGCUUCUGGGCUAAAGGAAAGGUUCAAAGUGGGGUAGGGCUGUUUACCAUAAACAUAGGUGGGUUAGUGGGGACUGCCUUUUGCAGGGGGCUGUCCACUCCACACUGCAAUGAGCCAGUCAAAUGGGAGUUCCAAGACCAGAGGAAACCUAGCCCAGAGCUUGAGUCUUCCAGGCUAACCCUGGGUCCUGGGGGGACCAGGAGAUGAGACCCAGGGAAUAGUAGUGUCCAUGUCGGUCAUCUCAAAGGUUCAAAGCAGGCUGGGAGGUCAAGUCUGCAGAUGGGCUGACUGGGCAGUGGAAGUGAUAAGGUUGGCCAGUUAAUGAUGGGUUGAUAUAUUCAUCUGUUUUCACACUGCUAUGAAGAACUAUGUGGGGCUGGGUAAUUUAUAAACAAAAGAGGUUUAAUUAACUCACAGUUCCACAUGGCUGGGAGGCCACAGGAAACUUACAAUCAUGGCAGAAGGCAAAGGGGAAGCAAGGCAUGUCGUACUUGGUGGCAGGAGAGAGUGCAGAGGAAACUGCCACUUAUAAACCGUCAGAUCUCAUGAGAAUUCCCUCACUAUCAUGAGAACAGCAUGGGGGAGACCACCCCUACAAUCCAGUCACCUCCCACCAAGUCCCUCCCUCCACACAUGGGAAUUACAAUUCAGAUUACAAUUCAAAAUGAGAUUUGGGUGGGGACAUAGAGCCAAACCAUAUCAGUUAGUCAGUGAAGACUGAGGUAUCUGUAGAAGUGAGGGAGGAGCACAGUGGUCUGGAUGAACCAGUGGGGUGAUAGUCAGGGGACUGGCAUUCAGUGAGGCUGGGGGAGAAGCUUCCUAAAAGCAUUGCCCUUGAAAAGCAGGGCAUACCUAUCUGAUACUGAGGAUGUAGAAUGCAGUUUGGAGAUGCUUCCUAGCUACCUAAUCUUCCAAGGCAAACCAUGCACUCUUCAUCCUGAUAUUUGUGAUGCCUCCCUGGGCUACAUGACAGAGGGUGCACUGCAAAGGAUGUGAAGGAAAGUCACCACAGGGCAAAGGUGGAAACCCAGGGGCCUUUCCCCAGUGAGACUUUCUGGCUGUUCCUUUGGAACUUCCACCUGCUAGUUGCAGAUGUUUGCCACUGGAUGGGGCCCCAUGCUACGUGGGAACUGUUCAGGACUGUGGGUACUUAGUUCCAGCAGAGCUGGCUCCACCAGGGCACCAGGACUGCAGGCUUCUCAACUCCUGGCCUGGAGAGGCAGCUUCAGCAACCAGUGCCUGGGAAUCCACUAGCCCUUUCUCUGUGAGUCACGUGAGGGCAGAAUCUGCUCAAAGUCAGAGGGCUGGAGCAACCUGGAUUGUGCCAGAGUGAGGGCCCAGCUCACUGGAGGUCAGAGUAAGAGAGUCAAGGAUGGGAAGAAACAGGGUUUUGCUCAGUCUUGCAGAUACUGAGGCACUCAGGAGGCUCAGGAUGGCAGCAACAGGGCAUGUGCUAAACUUACCCUAGCCUCUUCCUUUUAGGCAGCCACCACAGAGGACAUCUGUUUGCCUCUGUACCCUACCCCAUCUCCAUGCUGGUAGAUAUAGUCUGGGGAUACCUUUAAAACAAACAAACAAACAAACAAAACAGGAUCUGUCUAUCACCUGUCCAAAUCCUGAAGCAAAAUGAGCCUUCUUUAUGGCCACCUUGGAAAGGCCUGAGUCCCCAGCAUCACCUGGGAUACAAAGUGUUCUGAGGUGGGGGCAGAGUGCCCUCCUGCCCAGAUGCCACACUCCACAAUAUCUCUUCCUGGCAGACAGGUUUCUCUUAACUUCCUUUGGCAAAUUUGGUUUCACUUCCUUUUGCAACUUUAGAACCUUUCUCAGGUCAGUCAUAAGGUAGUGGAGAAGCCAGGAUUUGAACCCAUUCUGUCUGAUUCCAGAGCUCAUGCAUUAACCACCUGACUGUGGUGCCUCCCCAUCAUAUGUGCAUCAAGUAUGAUCAUUUUUGUAGUUCUCAGAGUACUUAGCACCAUGCACAUCUGUAAUAAGUACAGCCACUGCCUACUGGGAGGUCUAAAGGUUCAACUCAUAAGGGACCCACAGGCCACACUGGGCUCCAGUCUCCUUAAAAGAUGUGGGACGGAGAUCAACAAUUGUCAGCAGAACCCCAUCAGGCAUUUGUCUUCUCACUGAGCCUUGCAGCAAACCACACAGCUGUCUAUAACCUAUCUGUUCCCAGAUUCAAGAACACAAGCUGCUCAUCAGUUGGGUGCAGGAUCCACUCUAGUACAAAAGCUGUGUGUCUCAAGGCAUAAUUCCUUAUGAUUACUUCAUAGCUCUGCUUUUGUCUUGAGACAAAAGAAAUUUCCUUCAAUUCCUACUUUUGCUGAGAUAUUGUUUUUUGAAAAGCAAUUAAAUCUUGUCAAUCACUUUUCCCACCUCUUUGAGAUACUUACAUGGCUUUUCUUCUUUAUUCUCUUAGUGUGGUAAAUUACAUUGAUUUAUUUUAAAUAUGAAACCAGCCUUGAAUUCCAGGAACAAACUCCAUUUGGACAUGCUAGAACAACCUUUUAUAUUUGUUUAGAUUUGAUUUCCUGAAGUGGUGUUAAAAGGUUUUCAUAUCUAUGUCUGUGAGGGAUAUUAAUCUGUACAUUUUUUUAUUACUAUUUUCUGGUGUUAUGGUAAUGCUAGUCUCAUAGAAUGAAUUAGGAAAAGUUGCCUCCUUCUGUAUUUUCUGAGAGUUUGUGUGGCACUGGUAAAAUAUUUUCUGUAUAUGUUUGACAUAAUUCACCAGGAAAAUUAUUUGUACCUACAAGUUCCCUCCUGGAAAGAUGUUGAUAAUCACUUAUUAUCCUUUCAUUGUCUGCCAGAUCUGUGGCAUUGCUUUUUUCUCUGGUAUUAGUAAUUUAAAUUUUCCCUUAUUUCUUGAUCAAUUUUGGCAGAGAUUUAUCAAUUUUAUUAAUCUCUUUUAAAAAUCUGUAUUGAGCUUUGUUAAUUUUCUCUAUUACAUACUUUUUAUUUCUACUCUUACGAUUGCUAUUUCUUUAUUUCUCCUUUGGAUUUAGCCCAUUUUUCUAUUUGUCUAAUUUUAGGAUUUAAAAUUCAAUCAUUAUUUUUAGAUAUUUUUAUUUUUAAAUAUAAACAUGAAAGUUGCAAUAUUACCUUGGGCACUGUUUUGACUGCAUUCCACAAGUUUUUAUUUGUCAUGUUUUAAUCACCAUUCAGUUCAAAAUACUUUCUAAUGCUCCUUGUUAUUUCUUCUUUGACCCAUUGGUUAUAUAAAAGUACGUUUUGCUUUAUUUCUAAAUAUGUGAAGACUUUCUAGAUAUCUCAGUUAUUUAUUACUAAUUUAAUUUUAUUGUAGCCAGAGAAAAUACACUGUAUGUGUUCAAUCUUUGGAAAUUUCUUGAGACUUAUUUUUUGACCCAGUAUGUUUGCCCUCAUGAACAUUCCAUAUUCACUAGAAAAAGAAUGUGUGUUCAAAUAAUGUUGGAUAUAGUGUUAUGCAAAUGCCACUAAAUCAAGAUAAAUCUUUUGCACUCUUGUUUUUUGCCUGCUUGUUCUAACAAUAAGUGAGAAAGAAGUGUUAAUAUCUCCAAUUGUGAUUGUAAUUUGACUGUUAUCCUUUGGUUUGGUCAGUUUUUGCCUGUUGAAAUUCUGCUAUUAAAACAUAAACAUUUAAGAUAUUUAUAUCUUCCCAAGAGAGAUGCUAAAGAAAAGUGUAAAAAACCAAAGCCAUUCUUAUGUACAUCAGAAUAUAUGGACAAAAACUUUCACAGCAACAUCAUUAUCGCAAGUAACUGAAAGCAAUACAAAGGCACAUCAACAAAAGAUUGGACAGAUAAAUUGUUCCUUCAAUGGCAAUGAAAAUGGAUGUUACAGAGAUACAUGGAUACAUGGAACACCCUGAGUGAAUCUUACAUUUAUUUUGCAGAAGAUAUCAAACCAAACAGAGCACAUAUUAUUCCAUUCAUGUAAAGGUCAGUAACAGCCACAUAUAAGCUAUAUUUUGGAGAUUCAUACACAAUAGAAAAAACUAUUUAAAAAGUCAGAUAAUACUGAUUUUAAAAAUCGGGAUGUUGAAUUCAUCUGGGUGUUGAGGGAGGAGCACAUUGUGACCCAGACAGAGCACUCAGGACUCUGAGCACACUAAUACUCUGUAUUGCCUUCAGUGGUAGUUACAUCAGUAUCAACUUAAGAAAAAUUUAUUAAAAUCUACAUAAAUAAUAAAUAAUUUUCUAUAUGUAUGUUAUAUUUCCCAAUGCUAUGAAAUGAAUUGUGUCUCCCCAAAAUGUAUGUGUUGAAGUCCUAGCCCCCAGCACCUCAGAAUGUGACCGCAUUUGGAGAUGGAACCCUUUUUUUUUAUUUUUGAGACACAGUUGCCCAGACUAGAGUGUAGUGGCGUGAUCUCGGCUCACUGACCUCUGCCUCCUGGCUCAAACAAUUCUCAUGCCUCAGCCUCCUGAGGAGCUGGGAUUACAGGUGUGUGCCACCGCAUAUGGCUAAUUUUUGUAUUUUUAGUAGAAAUAGUAGACGCCAUGCAUAAAUACCAAUUCUCUCCAAAUUGAUCUAUUUCUCAAUCUACACAUAUUCUACUGGUGAUCUCAUCCAAGGUUGUGGCUGCAAGUACACCACUACAAGCCAAAAAAUUAUGUGUAUAUCUCCAUCUCAGGCUUGUCUUCCAAACUCCAUGGUCAUAUAUCUAAUAUUGUAUUUCUUCUUGUCUUCUCUUUGUAUUUGUGUAGAACAAAAGAAAAA